GUGGGGAAUUUUGGACAAUGGGGGCAACCCUGAUCCAGCCAUUCCGCGUGAGUGAAGAAGGCCUUCGGGUUGUAAAGCUCUUUCGGCAGGAACGAAACGGUGAGCUCUAACAUAGCUCGCUAAUGACGGUACCUGAAGAAGAAGCACCGGCUAACUACGUGCCAGCAGCCGCGGUAAUACGUAGGGUGCGAGCGUUAAUCGGAAUUACUGGGCGUAAAGCGUGCGCAGGCGGUUGUGUAAGACAGGUGUGAAAUCCCCGGGCUUAACCGGGGAACUGCGCUAGUGACUGCACGGCUAGAGUAUGGCAGAGGGGGGUGGAAUUCCACGUGUAGCAGUGAAAUGCGUAGAGAUGUGGAGGAACACCGAUGGCGAAGGCAGCCCCCUGGGCCAAUACUGACGCUCAUGCACGAAAGCGUGGGGAGCAAACAGGAUUAGAAACCCCUGUAGUCC
rnacentral:rRNA from 1 species